AUUGAACGCUGGCGGCAGGCCUAACACAUGCAAGUCGAGCGGAGCGGCGGACGGGGGAGUAAUGCCUAGGAAUCUGCCUGGUAGUGGGGGAUAACGUCCGGGAACGGGCGCUAAUACCGCAUACUAUCAGAUGAGCCUAGGUCGGAUUAGCGAGUUGGUGGGGUAAAGGCCUACAAAGGCGAAGAUCCGUAACUGGUCUGAGAGGACGAUCAGCCACACUGGAACUGAGAGACGGUCCAGACUCCUACGGGAGGCAGCAGUGGGGAAUAGUGGACAAUGGGGGAAAGCCUGAUCCAGCCAUGCCGCGUGUGUGAAGAAGGUCUUCGGAUUGUAAAGCACUUUAAGUUGGGAGGCGUUACCAACAGAAUAAGCACCGGCUAACUUCGUGCCAGCCGCCGCGGUAAUAC
rnacentral:rRNA from 1 species